UUGAUCUUCUGACUAAUAGAAAUUUGUCUUAUAAAAUAAAAUAUUAUACAAUACAUUAUAUAUAUUAACUUUUAUUCCACUAUACACUACUUGCAAUGAAUGCAAUUGUGCAAUGUAUUGUGUUGGUUUGGUAUUAUAUUCAGCACGGAUUUAGUACUUGGGAAAUAAUUUUAGCUUCCUGGAAAGUGGUUGUUUACCUCUCUCUUCUCUCUUUCGCGCCGCGCCCUCCUUCAUUUUCCUCUAGCAAAAAUGCGCUGCCUGUACUUUUUGCAGCGGCUUCCAUUUUGAACGGCUGAAUGCGAAGAACUUCUUUUUGGAAAAUGUAUCUCUUCCGCGGAAUUCAGAUCGAUCUAGCGUGGUGCAAAAGCAAAGAAUUUUGUAUAUUCGACUUGGUAACGUCGCCAGUUUGCCAUUUUAUUUUUGCAUCAUAGGCGUAGUACUCCGAUAUAAGAACAUUUUGUAACAUUUAUGUCAAAUAAAAUGUAUUUUUAAAA